GUGCUCGCUUCGGCAGCACAUAUACUAAAAUUGGAACGAUACAGAGAAGAUUAAAUGCUCAAGGAUGACACACACAUUCGUGAAGCGUUCCAUAUUUAA
rnacentral:snRNA from 1 species